rnacentral:rRNA from 1 species
GGGUGCGAUCAUACCAGCGUUAAUGCACCGGAUCCCCUCAGAACUCCGCAGUUAAGCGCGCUUGGGCUAGAGUAGUACUGGGAUGGGUGACCUCUCGGGAGGUGCUGGUGUUGCACCCU